rnacentral:sRNA from 1 species
CAAGGACAGAAGAGACUAUAAAAUUUGCUGCAGCACAUUAUAAUACAGAGAUCUUGAAAAGUAUUGAUAAUGAGUGGAGAAAGACUCAAUGCAUGCCACGGGAGGUGUGUAUAGAUGUGGGGAAGGAGUUUGGAGUCGCAACAAACACCUUCUUUAAACCUCCAUGUGUGUCCGUCUACAGAUGUGGGGGUUGCUGCAACAGUGAGGGGCUACAGUGCAUGAACACCAGCACAAGCUACCUCAGCAAGACGUUAUUUGAAAUUACAGUGCCUCUCUCUCAAGGCCCCAAACCAGUAACAAUCAGUUUUGCCAAUCACACUUCCUGCCGAUGCAUGUCUAAACUGGAUGUUUACAGACAAGUUCAUUCCAUUAUUAGACGUUCCCUGCCAGCAACACUACCACAGAGAAAUGACUCUUGAAGAAACUCAAGAAGGGACAAAGAAAGGUCAAAUCAGUCAUUGCUAUUUGCAGAAGGUGAUGGGUGGAUGGAGGACAAGGGGGCAAUCUUAGACAAACUGUCAUAUUAAGAGGAAUGAAGAGAACUUCCUCGUGUCUGUGUCUAGUAGAUGCUGUAGAGACUUGCUGGACAGGAAAGCUUUGGUAAAUCUUCAGAAAUGAUGUUCAAGCUGAAGGAAGAUGUUCAAGCUGCAUUUUGGUUGGAAAAUGCAGAUUUCCUUGUUUUUCUGUUGAAAAAUUCCUCUAUGUGAUGCUGUAAGAGUUAUCAGGCUAUUAUUAAAAGAAAGAUGUAUUGUCACAGUG